AGGGCACAGUGUAUGGAUGUGAAAGCAAGGAGUUACAGAUGGUCUGAGUCCCGCAGCAAAGUGUGCCAGAUAUGUGACAUGGGAGAGGAUGAGACGGUGGAAUAUGUGGUGCUGGAAUGUAUGAAGUAUGCCAGAGACAGGAAUGAGGUGAUGGAAGUGAUACUGACUGAGUUAGGGCAUGAUAGGAAUGAAAGAGUGGAGAAGACAGGAAAAGAAUGGAUGGUGUUGUUGUUGGGAUUGUGUAGAGAGGCGAAUGAAAGGAUGAUUUAGGCGGUGAAAGAGUUUCUGGAGAGAAUGUGGCGUGCCAGAUGUAAGAACAAUUAGUGUAGAAGAUAUUGUUCGUUUCUCUUUUUUUUUCCCCUUCUAUAGGAGCUCCCGAUCCAAAGGCCUGGCUUAGUGAUCCCGAGCCACCUAAACCAUUAAGAUCAAGAUCAAGAUCAAGUUGUAUAUGCCCGCCUAUCUUGACCACAAAAUUUUCAUGGCUAAUUAGCAUCGCCUGACCUUGUUCCCUGCCCUACAUUGCUCCUGCUAGUGUCUGACCAUCCCGGAGACCACACACCACUUUCAGCUGCAGUAGCCACGCCUGAGACGCUUCCACCUCCACCGGGCCACACUCCCAUCACAACUCUAGGCUGUGGGCGUCACCACCUUGGAGCUGCCCACCCUACUGGCGGCGGCAGACGUCCACGUCUCACCACGACUUGCCCCUCAAAAGACAACGCACCAAGGAAGGACAACAGGCGGGGACUAUUAGGAUGUAAGCUGUGUAUUAUUAGGGUGUAAUGGUACCAGCGACCUGUCUUCAUCACCUGGAGGUCACCAAGAAGACUGACAACAAAAAGUAGUGCAGGAAUGUACAGUCUUGGUCCUGCUCGUCCCUACUCCUGGCUUUGACUUCAAGUGUUCCUGCCCUUGCUUUAACUUCGGCCCCCCCUGGACAUCCCCCCUCCAUAAGAUAAACUAACGUAACAACAUUUUGUGGAUAAAUUUGCAGUUUUAACCAAUACUCUCCCGGCAAUCUCCCCCUUACCUACUGGAUCCUCCCAGAAAUUAUACCGGGACCAUCUGGCAACAUAUGGGUAUUGCAACAUACAUCAUGCUAAUAAUGAGUAAAUGGGACAACGCUCCCUUCAAAGCUGCAUCUCCAGAAGGAGAGGGUUGAUAAGGACAACAUUUGGCCGCCUAAAAUUUAUAUAUUUUCAAGUAUCACAACUAACUUUCCUGUGAGACUAUGAACAAUAUAUAGCACACAUAAGUAUUGUAUGUCUGUUGCAUUUUUUUUUUCUUUUUAAUAUAAAUGAAAGCUAAAGUAAAGUGAUUCUCAAAUUUUGUUGCUUAGUGGCGCACUGCAUCUUGACCUUGACUGCACACUGAGCCUGUAGUCAGUGUAGUGAAGGCCGACUGAAAGAAGACACACCUACGUAUCAAGAAAAGUUAGGCGGCGCACUUUGGUGAUAGCCACGGCGCACAGUUUACGGAUCACUGCAGUCUAGAUGUAGCACAAUGAGAAGUUCUCCCAGUGUCAUUCCUUCCCCUCACCAUGAUUAUUGUUAAAGGCCACAGAGAUGAUUAGUCGGGUUCCCAAGUAUUUUUCAUGUUAAUAAUGUAGAAAAUCUUGUCAAUCUGUCACUAAAACCAUUGAAAAAAAAUAAAUAAAUAAAAA